AUGGAUGAAACUGGGUUGUUUUAUAGGCUACAAGUUGAUCAUUCACUGGCAACAAAACAACUUGAAGGAAGAAAACAAGAUAAAGAAAGGCUGACGGUAGUUAUUUGUUGCAAUGAAGAUGACUCUGAAAAAAUCCCUCUAUGGAUUAAUGGGGAAUAUGCAAAGCCUCGUUGCUUCAAGAAUGUCAACAUGAAUAGUUUGGAUUGUCAGUAUCGAGCUAACAAAAAAGCAUGGAUGACUAGUGUGCUUUUUGAUGAAUAUGUUCGUUCAUUUGACCAAAUGAUACAUGGUAGAAGAGUUCUACUUGUGGUGGAUAAUUGUCCAGCACAUCCAAGAAAUAUUUAA